UACAGAGGUCCCAAGCGUUGUUCGGAUUCACUGGGCGUAAAGGGUGCGUAGGCGGUCGGGUAAGUCUGACGUGAAAUCUUCAAGCUUAACUUGGAAACUGCGUCGGAUACUAUUCGGCUAGAGGAAUGGAGGGGAGACUGGAAUACUUGGUGUAGCAGUGAAAUGCGUAGAUAUCAAGUGGAACACCAGUGGCGAAGGCGGCUUGCCAAUACGCGCUCGACGGUGAGGGAUGAAAGCUGGGGGAGCAAACCGG
rnacentral:rRNA from 1 species